GCGCGCAAGUGCACGCCGCACGCCGGAGACCACAGAGUGCACUCCGCAAUAACUCGUUGUCAGCUGCAUUUUCGUCGGAAGCAAGUUGUCCUUGUUGCGAGAUGGUGUUGUUCGUACUGCGGGUAUUUAAUUUGCGUAACUCCAGCUUCAACAGACGUUCUUCAGGACUGCUGCCAUGACGGUAAUGGUGUGGGUGAUGCUUCUGCUCGCGCAGGCGGCUGUGGCCAUUGUGUGUCCACCACACGUCUGCGAAAGCACCAAGUGCCCGCGGCCGCCUGUGAAGACCUAUCAUGGACGGCUGAGCACUCAAGGGAGUUUCUGCGGGUGUUGCAAAGUUUGCAUACACGAAUCAGCGUUCGGAGAACCAUGCACGUAUUCGCCCCUUCUCGGUGUGCCCUCGGCGUCCCAGUGCGCGAGGGGUCUCAUCUGCGAUCCUCGUGCGAGCGUGUGCAUCCCAGCGCUGUGCUACAUCGCCCGUCACCUCGAUGGCCGUAACAUAAAGACCACUUCUCGCGGGUUGAGUGAAUAAACGCUCGUUUUCAGAAAUGCCCCACAACUACCAGAG
rnacentral:misc_RNA from 1 species